rnacentral:tRNA from 2 species
UGGAGCAGCUUGGUAGCUCGUCGGGCUCAUAACCCGAAGGUCGUCGGUUCAAAUCCGG